CUACGGGCCGCAGCAGUGAGGAAUAUUGCACAAUGGGGGGAACCCUGAUGCAGCAACGCCGCGUGGAGGAUGACACAUUUCGGUGUGUAAACUCCUUUUAUAUGUCAAGAAAAUGACGGUAGCAUAUGAAUAAGCACCGGCUAACUCCGUGCCAGCAGCCGCGGUAAUACGGAGGGUGCAAGCGUUACUCGGAAUCACUGGGCGUAAAGGACGCGUAGGCGGGCUUGUAAGUCAGGUGUGAAAUCCUACAGCUUAACUGUAGAACUGCACUUGAAACUACGAGCCUAGAGUAUGGGAGGGGCAGAUGGAAUUAGUGGUGUAGGGGUAAAAUCCGUAGAUAUCACUAGGAAUACCUAAAGCGAAGGCGAUCUGCUGGAACAUAACUGACGCUAAGGCGUGAAAGCGUGGGGAGCAAACAGGAUUAGAUACCCUAGUAGUC
rnacentral:rRNA from 1 species